UAUGAAGAAGGCCUUCGGGUUGUAAAGUACUUUCGGUAAUGAGGAAGGUGGUGUAUCUAAUAGGUGCAUCAAUUGACGUUAAUUACAGAAGAAGCACCGGCUAACUCCGUGCCAGCAGCCGCGGUAAUACGGAGGGUGCGAGCGUUAAUCGGAAUGACUGGGCGUAAAGGGCAUGUAGGCGGAUAAUUAAGUUAGGUGUGAAAGCCCUGGGCUCAACCUAGGAAUUGCACUUAAAACUGGUUAACUAGAGUAUUGUAGAGGAAGGUAGAAUUCCACGUGUAGCGGUGAAAUGCGUAGAGAUGUGGAGGAAUACCGGUGGCGAAGGCGGCCUUCUGGACAGAUACUGACGCUGAGAUGCGAAAGCGUGGGGAGCAAACAGGAUUAGAUACCCUGGUAGUCCACGCUGUAAACGAUGUCGAUUUGGAGUUUGUUGCCCUGAGUGAUGGGCUCCGAAGCUAACGCGAUAAAUCGACCGCCUGGGGAGUACGGCCGCAAGGUUAAAACUCAAAUGAAUUGACGGGGGCCCGCACAAGCGGUGGAGCAUGUGGUUUAAUUCGAUGCAACGCGAAGAACCUUACCUGGUCUUGACAUCCACAGAAUCUUGCAGAGAUGCGAGAGUGCCUUCGGGAACUGUGAGACAGGUGCUGCAUGGCUGUCGUCAGCUCGUGUUGUGAAAUGUUGGGUUAAGUCCCGCAACGAGCGCAACCCUUAUCCUUUGUUGCCAGCGGUUUGGCCGGGAACUCAAAGGAGACUGCCGUUGAUAAAGCGGAGGAAGGUGGGGACGACGUCAAGUCAUCAUGGCCCUUACGACCAGGGCUACACACGUGCUACAAUGGCGUAUACAAAGGGAGGCGACCUCGCGAGAGCAAGCGGACCUCACAAAGUACGUCUAAGUCCGGAUUGGAGUCUGCAACUCGACUCCAUGAAGUCGGAAUCGCUAGUAAUCGUGAAUCAGAAUGUCACGGUGAAUACGUUCCCGGGCCUUGUACACACCGCCCGUCACACCAUGGGAGUGGGUUGCACCAGAAGUAGAUAGCUUAA
rnacentral:rRNA from 1 species